rnacentral:Y_RNA from 1 species
GGGGCGAAUGCCCGAUGGAACUACAUGAUUCAAAAAUCCUCAGGCCGGGGGUUCGAAUCCCUCCGGUCCCACUUUCAACGGGACCGUAGCUCAGUCUGGUAGAGCAGAGCAAAAACGUUUCAUCAAACCCUUGUCGCCCCACC